rnacentral:tRNA from 2 species
GCGGGUGUGGCGGAAUUGGCAGACGCGCUAGAUUUAGGUUCUAGUGUUCACCGACGUGCAGGUUCAAGUCCUGUCACCCGCACCA